AGCGUACACGGUGGAUGCCCUGGCAGUCAGAGGCGAUGAAGGACGUGCUAAUCUGCGAUAAGCGUCGGUAAGGUGAUAUGAACCGUUAUAACCGGCGAUUUCCGAAUGGGGAAACCCAGUGUGAUUCGUCACACUAUCAUUAACUGAAUCCAUAGGUUAAUGAGGCGAACCGGGGGAACUGAAACAUCUAAGUACCCCGAGGAAAAGAAAUCAACCGAGAUUCCCCCAGUAGCGGCGAGCGAACGGGGAGGAGCCCAGAGCCUGAAUCAGUGUGUGUGUUAGUGGAAGCGUCUGGAAAGGCGCGCGAUACAGGGUGACAGCCCCGUACACAAAAAUGCACAUGCUGUGAGCUCGAUGAGUAGGGCGGGACACGUGGUAUCCUGUCUGAAUAUGGGGGGACCAUCCUCCAAGGCUAAAUACUCCUGACUGACCGAUAGUGAACCAGUACCGUGAGGGAAAGGCGAAAAGAACCCCGGCGAGGGGAGUGAAAAAGAACCUGAAACCGUGUACGUACAAGCAGUGGGAGCACGCUUCGGCGUGUGACUGCGUACCUUUUGUAUAAUGGGUCAGCGACUUAUAUUCUGUAGCAAGGUUAACCGAAUAGGGGAGCCGAAGGGAAACCGAGUCUUAACUGGGCGUUAAGUUGCAGGGUAUAGACCCGAAACCCGGUGAUCUAGCCAUGGGCAGGUUGAAGGUUGGGUAACACUAACUGGAGGACCGAACCGACUAAUGUUGAAAAAUUAGCGGAUGACUUGUGGCUGGGGGUGAAAGGCCAAUCAAACCGGGAGAUAGCUGGUUCUCCCCGAAAGCUAUUUAGGUAGCGCCUCGUGAAUUCAUCUCCGGGGGUAGAGCACUGUUUCGGCAAGGGGGUCAUCCCGACUUACCAACCCGAUGCAAACUGCGAAUACCGGAGAAUGUUAUCACGGGAGACACACGGCGGGUGCUAACGUCCGUCGUGAAGAGGGAAACAACCCAGACCGCCAGCUAAGGUCCCAAAGUCAUGGUUAAGUGGGAAACGAUGUGGGAAGGCCCAGACAGCCAGGAUGUUGGCUUAGAAGCAGCCAUCAUUUAAAGAAAGCGUAAUAGCUCACUGGUCGAGUCGGCCUGCGCGGAAGAUGUAACGGGGCUAAACCAUGCACCGAAGCUGCGGCAGCGACACUAUGUGUUGUUGGGUAGGGGAGCGUUCUGUAAGCCUGUGAAGGUGUGCUGUGAGGCAUGCUGGAGGUAUCAGAAGUGCGAAUGCUGACAUAAGUAACGAUAAAGCGGGUGAAAAGCCCGCUCGCCGGAAGACCAAGGGUUCCUGUCCAACGUUAAUCGGGGCAGGGUGAGUCGACCCCUAAGGCGAGGCCGAAAGGCGUAGUCGAUGGGAAACAGGUUAAUAUUCCUGUACUUGGUGUUACUGCGAAGGGGGGACGGAGAAGGCUAUGUUGGCCGGGCGACGGUUGUCCCGGUUUAAGCGUGUAGGCUGGUUUUCCAGGCAAAUCCGGAAAAUCAAGGCUGAGGCGUGAUGACGAGGCACUACGGUGCUGAAGCAACAAAUGCCCUGCUUCCAGGAAAAGCCUCUAAGCAUCAGGUAACAUCAAAUCGUACCCCAAACCGACACAGGUGGUCAGGUAGAGAAUACCAAGGCGCUUGAGAGAACUCGGGUGAAGGAACUAGGCAAAAUGGUGCCGUAACUUCGGGAGAAGGCACGCUGAUAUGUAGGUGAAGUCCCUCGCGGAUGGAGCUGAAAUCAGUCGAAGAUACCAGCUGGCUGCAACUGUUUAUUAAAAACACAGCACUGUGCAAACACGAAAGUGGACGUAUACGGUGUGACGCCUGCCCGGUGCCGGAAGGUUAAUUGAUGGGGUUAGCGGUAACGCGAAGCUCUUGAUCGAAGCCCCGGUAAACGGCGGCCGUAACUAUAACGGUCCUAAGGUAGCGAAAUUCCUUGUCGGGUAAGUUCCGACCUGCACGAAUGGCGUAAUGAUGGCCAGGCUGUCUCCACCCGAGACUCAGUGAAAUUGAACUCGCUGUGAAGAUGCAGUGUACCCGCGGCAAGACGGAAAGACCCCGUGAACCUUUACUAUAGCUUGACACUGAACAUUGAGCCUUGAUGUGUAGGAUAGGUGGGAGGCUUUGAAGUGUGGACGCCAGUCUGCAUGGAGCCGACCUUGAAAUACCACCCUUUAAUGUUUGAUGUUCUAACGUUGGCCCCUGAUCGGGGUUGCGGACAGUGUCUGGUGGGUAGUUUGACUGGGGCGGUCUCCUCCUAAAGAGUAACGGAGGAGCACGAAGGUUGGCUAAUCCUGGUCGGACAUCAGGAGGUUAGUGCAAUGGCAUAAGCCAGCUUGACUGCGAGCGUGACGGCGCGAGCAGGUGCGAAAGCAGGUCAUAGUGAUCCGGUGGUUCUGAAUGGAAGGGCCAUCGCUCAACGGAUAAAAGGUACUCCGGGGAUAACAGGCUGAUACCGCCCAAGAGUUCAUAUCGACGGCGGUGUUUGGCACCUCGAUGUCGGCUCAUCACAUCCUGGGGCUGAAGUAGGUCCCAAGGGUAUGGCUGUUCGCCAUUUAAAGUGGUACGCGAGCUGGGUUUAGAACGUCGUGAGACAGUUCGGUCCCUAUCUGCCGUGGGCGCUGGAGAACUGAGGGGGGCUGCUCCUAGUACGAGAGGACCGGAGUGGACGCAUCACUGGUGUUCGGGUUGUCAUGCCAAUGGCACUGCCCGGUAGCUAAAUGCGGAAGAGAUAAGUGCUGAAAGCAUCUAAGCACGAAACUUGCCCCGAGAUGAGUUCUCCCUGACUCCUUGA
rnacentral:rRNA from 1 species